CCCAUGUCUCCCGGUGUCUCAGUGUCCCCAUGUGUGUCUUUGUCCCCAUGUCCCCUAGUGUCUCAGUGUCCCCUAGUGUUUCAGUGUCCCCAUGUGUGUGUUUGUGUGUGUGUCCUUGUCUCAGUGUCCCCAUGUGUGUCUGUGUCCCCAUGUCGCUAAGUGUCGCCAAGUGUCUUAGCAUCCCCAGAGGUCUCAAUGUGCCACAUGUCUCAUAGUGUCCCCUAGUGUCUUAGUGUCCCCAUGUCCCCCUGCAGCCUUUAUCCCAUCCCUCCCAUCUCUGAGCUGUAGGCUGUCUCUACAGGCUAGGAGCUGCUGUCUGGAC